UCCCCAGAGACUCAGAGGGUAAAAAAGUUCUGCCUGCAACGCAGAAGACCUGGGUUCGAUCCCUGGCUUGGGAA
rnacentral:tRNA from 1 species